rnacentral:lncRNA from 1 species
GAUUAUUUUCCAUUACACACUUGCAAGGGGUGUUUUUGAAUGCUAUCUUACUUUCUUUUCAUGUCCCUUCAUUUACUGCACCCCUAGAGACAGUCAAAAUCUCCAGGCCACACUCUGCAAUAAAAACUCAGCAAGUUUAGAGGAUACAGCAUGAAGCUUCCCAGACGGCCAGAAGUUCUGCUGACGGUACUAAAAUUCAGGAGCCUCAUCUAGCAUCCCAGGCAGAUGAAGACGUUGAUGCUCAAAAGUCGCUAAUGAGAAGCUGAGCCAAGAGUCAGAUCCAAAGUCCUUCCAGCUCUGAAGCCUGCAUUGUUUCCAACGCAUGAUGUUGUCUGAAUGGCUCAGUGAUGGCUUGGCUGAAGAAGACUUCAUGAUCACUCCCAUUUUGAAGAUCAGCACAUUGAGGUUCAGAGUGGUGAAAUGACUUGAAGUUCCUGUGGAGAGUAAAUGGGAAACAUCAGAGGAAUGAUUUGAACCCUGGUCUGUCCACCUUCAGUGCCCAUAUUUUGUCCUCCAUGCUUUGAAGCACAAAUCAUGAUUCAGGUGAAGAAAGAUAUUUUAAGAGCUAUGAAGAUUGCUGGUAUUCUCAACAACAAGAGCUCUGUGGUCACAUGUGAGUCUAGUUUGGGUUGUUGCUUUUCAAACUUAUUUGAUUACAAAACUAUAGAUGUCAAUUAUUUUGCAAAAUGCUUAGUGCUGGAGAUGAUGAGUGCCUAGAUGUAAGCAUCUGCUGCUGGGUUUUGCUUUCAGAAGACACAGAGAAAAAUACAAAUUUAUCAAACCUAUUAGCCUAAGAUUAUUGUUAUC